rnacentral:misc_RNA from 1 species
UGUUCGAGCGCCAUUUCAACCCUCGAGCCCUGCUCGGCGAUAGGCGACGCCCCCUGGGGCGCGCCCGAAACCCGUCGGCGCCGUCGUCCGGCCCCGAGCGUAGCAAGAGAAAUCCCUCGCUCGGUGGACCGUCCAGCGGCCGCCACGACCACUUUCACAAGGUUGGCCUCGGAUCAGGUGGGAAUACCCGCUGAACUUAA